GGCUUUAUGAAAGCGAUUGACUCCGCCAGGCUCCACCAAGUCACAGGUUUGUCACCGCGGUGGAAAACGUCAGUAUUCCAAACCCAAAAUGAUAAAUAAGUAGGGUUUCUGUCCCUCCUACAGGAAGGAUCACUUGGAUGGCUGGAGAAUCCUGGCGACCCAUCGUUUUAUCCUCGGGCCUGUCGGUCUACGUACUCCGCAGUGUCUCCUGGAGACACUCGCCUGCCUGUAGAGGAGGCCCCGUUCUCUACAGGCUCAUCACCCCCAACCUUCGUCUACCUAUAAGCUAGAGCGGUGUUUCCAAAGUGGAAAUGUGUUUACAGGCUGUCUCCUCCUGGACUGUGAUCUCCCUGAUAGAGGAGCUGUCUGGGCCUCAUUCACUUCCGUGAACCCAGCUCUAGCUUGGAGCCUGUCCUAGAGUGCGGGACACUGAUUACGUGCUUCAACUUGGCGGGCCUGGGCUGGGGGACCUGAUCAGCCCCUGGGGAGGGUGGUGGGCACGGGCGACAGCGCC